ensembl:lncRNA
AUCUUGCUGGAGAUCUCUGUGUGCUGGAGGCCUUCUAAAGGCCAGGGAGGUUAAUUGGAGGAAAGUGACUGUACAUCGGGCCCAAGAGCCUCCUACAGAGAUACUUGGCACAAAUAAAUCAGCCUAUUUUUGAUGAAUAACAAGGCCCCAAAGGCUCUAGUUCUUGCUGCCUGCACAAAUUGCAGUGGUGAAAACAAUCUUGCUGCUCUAGCCAGAGGCAGAUGUCACCCCAGAUUAGAUGUCAUGGCUCUGUCACUGCUCCAGCUCCUCGCAUCUCCCUGCGAUUUCCUCGCUUGUCACCAGUGCAUUUGGCAAAUGUGUGUCCAGAUGCUGCUGUGAAAUACUGUUAGUCCUUUUGGUCACCUCGUCUUUUUCUAAUCCUUAAUCAUAAGCAUUUUGCCUUUCUGCCCUUCUACAUCCUCUUGUUCCCUGUCCUUGGUCAGAGAUGCAGCUUUCACUACCCAUUUGCCAUGUUUAAAUGGAAUGCUUGAUAGGCUGCUUUCAGGAGCAAACUUAUCAUCUGGUACAUGGCACAGUGGCUGUAACAGUACUCAUCUUGAAGAAGCUGGCUGAGUUGGCACAGGUAGGGAUUCUUCCUGUGGAGAAGUGGAGCUUCCUGUUGCGGCUCUUUGUACAACAUGCUUGUUCUCUAAAUAUUGGCUUUCAUCUGCAAAAUAAGGAUAGAGUAAGCCAUGUGAAUGUGUGAGCUUUAAAUUAAUGUGAAUGGUGUGUACAACAGUUGGCAGUGAUUAGGAGAACUGGGUCUAAGUCCUUGUUUUGGCAGUACAGAACACAUAGUCUGUCCUAUGGAAGGCUAACAGGCUGUUUCUGUCUGACAAGACUACUACCUGUUCAAACUGUUCUGCAGAGGUUUUGAUCCUUAUAAAAUAACACCUUGCAAUGAAGAAAACACUCUGUUAGACUUCCUGACCAACUGUAGCUAUGCCUGUAUGUUGUUGUUCUUACUUGUCUUGUAAGUCUACA